rnacentral:rRNA from 1 species
GGCGAACGUUAGCGGCGCGCCUAACACAUGCAAGUCGCACGAGAAACGGAGCAAUCCGCGGUACAGUGGCGCACGGGUGAGUAACACGUGGACGACCUUCCCUGGAGUGGUGGAUAACCUGCCGAAAGGCGGGCUAAUACAGCAUGGGACCACAUGGUUUUGACCGAGUGGUGAAAGCGGGCCUCUGUUCACAAGCUCGCGCUCUGGGAUGGGUCUGCGUCCCAUCAGCUAGUUGGUGAGGUAAUGGCUCACCAAGGCAUCGACGGGUAGCUGGUCUGAGAGGAUGACCAGCCACACUGGAACUGAGACACGGUCCAGACUCCUACGGGAGGCAGCAGUGGGGAAUCUUGCGCAAUGGGCGAAAGCCUGACGCAGCGACGCCGCGUGGGUGAUGAAGGCCUCGGUUGUAAG